UAUCAUUUGUGAUGGUUAUGAGUUUGGGGU
rnacentral:piRNA from 1 species